rnacentral:rRNA from 1 species
AGUGAACGCUGGCGGUAGGCCUAACACAUGCAAGUCGAACGGCAGCACAGUAAGAGCUUGCUCUUACGGGUGGCGAGUGGCGGACGGGUGAGGAAUACAUCGGAAUCUACUUUUUCGUGGGGGAUAACGUAGGGAAACUUACGCUAAUACCGCAUACGACCUACGGGUGAAAGCAGGGGAUCUUCGGACCUUGCGCGAUUGAAUGAGCCGAUGUCGGAUUAGCUAGUUGGCGGGGUAAAGGCCCACCAAGGCGACGAUCCGUAGCUGGUCUGAGAGGAUGAUCAGCCACACUGGAACUGAGACACGGUCCAGACUCCUAUGGGAGGCAGCAGUGGGGAAUAUUGGACAAUGGGCGCAAGCCUGAUCCAGCCAUACCGCGUGGGUGAAGAAGGCCUUCGGGUUGUAAAGCCCUUUUGUUGGGAAAGAAAAGCAGCGGGUUAAUACCCCGCUGUUCUGACGGUACCCAAAGAAUAAGCACCGGCUAACUUCGUG